rnacentral:lncRNA from 1 species
UGGGUGGUUAAGAACUGUUCCUCUGUAUAAAGAAGUCCUUAUUCAGUUUUAGGCCGGAAAGUGCUGUCUACUCCUUCGAUGAUUUUGUCAGCGAUUUUCCCUAUGGUUUUUUUCACAACUUUGAGGUCGUUCUCGUGCAAGAUUUUCUGUGUCAGGUACUUCUCUCGUUUGACCUUGCUCUUGGUCUCUUGUGACACAUCCGGGAUUAUGUAGGAAAUAAUAAACUUCACAAAGUAUAUGACGUGCUCCAUGACAAUGAUGAAAGCCAGCUUGGCUGCGAUGACGUGCCAGUAGUAUAUGUUAUGCUCAUACUGAUGCUGGUGCCCAGGAGGGUAGCGGAAGUCACGGUACCUGCAUGUUGUGUGGUUCCCAAACCAGGGGGAAAAUGGCUUGCUUGCAUUCUUGAAGUCCGAUAUACUGAAGACAGAGAGUGUAU